AGAGUCUCGUUUCAAUUCAUUUAAAUAUCAGAGCAUUUCUUAAACAGAUUAGAUGGAUGGACAGACAGGUGGAUGGAUUAUAGACAUAGGUGAGCAUGCAGAUAGAUAGAUAGAUAGAUAGGUGGAUAGGUGGAUAGAUAGCUGGCUAGAUAGAUAGGUGGCUAGAUGGAUGAAUGGAUAAUACAUAUAGAUAGAUAGAUAGAUAGAUAGAUAGAUAGGUGGCUGGAUGAAUGGAUGGAUAAUAGAUAGAUAGGUGGAUGGAUGGAUGAAUGGAUAAUACAGACAGACAGAUAGAUAGACAGACAGACAGAGAUAGAUAUAUAGAUAGGUGGAUGAAUGAAUGGAUAAUAGACAUAGAGAGAUAGAUAGAUAGGUGGAUGGGUGGAUAAUAGACAUAGAUGAUAGAUAGGUGGAAAGAUAAUAAACAUAGAAAGGUAGAUAGGUGUCUGGAUAAAUGGAUGGAUAAUAGAUAGAUAGAUGGAUGGAUGGAUGAAUGGAUAAUACAGAUAGACAGAGAUAGGUAGCUGGAUGAAUGAAUGGAUAAUAGACAGAUAUAUAGAUAGGUGGAUGAAUGAAUGGAUAAUAGACAUAGAGAGAUAGAUAGAUAGGUGGAUGAAUGAAUGGAUAAUAGACAUAGAGAGAUAGAUAGAUAGGUGGAUGGAUGGAUGGAUAAUAGACAUAGAUAGAUAGAUAGGUGGAAAGAUAAUAAACAUAGAAAGGUGGAUAGAUAGAUAGGUGGCUGGAUGAAUGGAUGGAUAAUAGCUGGAUGAAUGAAUGGAUAAUACAGAUAGACAGAGAGAUAGAUAGGUGGAUGAAUGAAUGGAUAAUAGACAUAGAUAGAAAGAUAGAUAGAUAGAUAGAUAAUAAAGAGAAAGAUGGAUAGAUAGAUAGAUAGGUGGCUGGAUGAAUGGAUGGAUAAUAGAUAGAUAGGUGGAUGGAUGGAUGAAUGGAUAAUAUAGAUAGAUAGAUAAUAAAGAGAAAGGUGGAUAGAUAGAUGGAUGGAUGGAUGGAUGAAUGGAUAAUACAGAUAGAUAGAUAGGUGGCUGGAUGAAUGGAUGGAUAAUACAGACAAAUGGAUAGACAGACAGAGAGAUAGAUAUAUAGAUAGAUAGAUAGAUAGAUAGAUAGAUAGGUGGAUAGAUAGAUAGAUAGGUGGAUGGAUGGAUAAUAGACAUAGAUGAUAGGUGGAAAGAUAAUAAAUAUAGAAAGGUGGAUAGAUAGAUAGGUGUCUGGAUAAAUGGAUGGAUAAUAGGUAGAUAGAUGGAUGGAUGAAUGGAUAAUACAGAUAGACAGACAGAGAGCUAGGUAGCUGGAUGAAUGAAUGGAUAAUAGACAGAUAUAUAGAUGGGUGGAUGAACGAAUGGAUAAUAGACAUAGAUAGGUGGAAAGGUAAACAUAGAAAGGUGGAUAGAUAGAUAGGUGGCUGGAUGAAUGGAUGGAUAAUAGAUAGAUGGAUGGAUGGAUGGAUGGAUGGAUAAUACAGAUAGAGAGAUAGAUAGGUGGAUGAAUGAAUGGAUAAUAGACAUACAUAGAUAGAUAGAUAGACAUAGAGAGGUAGAUAGAUAGAUAAUAAAGAGAAAGGUGGAUAGAUAGAUGGAUGGAUGGAUGGAUGGAUAAUACAGAUAGACAGACAGAGAGAUAGAUAGGUGGAUGAAUGAAUGGAUAAUAGACAUAGAUAGAAAGAUAGAUAGAUCAUAAAGAGAAAGGUGGAUAGAUAUAUAGGUGGCUGGAUGGAUGAAUGGAUAAUACAGAUAGAUAGAUAGGUGGCUGGAUGAAUGGAUGGAUAAUACAGACAAAUGGAUAGACAGACAGAGAGAUAGAUAUAUAGAUAGAUAGAUAGAUAGGUGGAUAGAUAGAUAGAUAGAUAGAUAGGUGGAUGGAUGGAUAAUAGACAUAGAUGAUAGGUGGAAAGAUAAUAAAUAUAGAAAGGUGGAUAGAUAGAUAGGUGUCUGGAUAAAUGGAUGGAUAAUAGAUAGAUAGAUGGAUGGAUGAAUGGAUAAUACAGAUAGACAGACAGAGAGCUAGGUAGCUGGAUGAAUGAAUGGAUAAUAGACAGAUAUAUAGAUGGGUGGAUGAACGAAUGGAUAAUAGACAUAGAUAGGUGGAAAGAUAAACAUAGAAAGGUGGAUAGAUAGAUAGGUGGCUGGAUGAAUGGAUGGAUAAUAGAUAGAUGGAUGGAUGGAUGGAUGGAUGGAUAAUACAGAUAGAGAGAUAGAUAGGUGGAUGAAUGAAUGGAUAAUAGACA